ensembl:snoRNA
UCUGAGACUAGGGUCACAUCCUAACAGCUCACAGCUCUUCUCUAGUAUGCUGGAGUCCUCAGAAUCUGCUGGUCUUGAUUCACUGAUGGGGGCAACCAGUGUCCCCUUAGUGUCCGGGCAGAAACAUAC